UUUCUGCAGGUAAUGGAAAGAGGGGCACA
rnacentral:piRNA from 1 species